GUUCACUUUUGCUCCAAUAUGCUCUUUUGACUUAACUUCAAGCUUUGGGUUGAUGUGGGUAGGGUAGUGUCAAACUGUUUUAAGAGGAAUUGGACCAGUUCUGCUGCCUAAGAAGGUCUGUCUGGAUGUUUAUAGGCAGCUCCUCUGAAGUGGCCUAAAUUCACCCUGAUCUGAUAGUUUUCCUGCCUAGAAAGUGUGCCUUGGCCAGAUCAGUAUCCCACAUGGGAGUGUUCCCUAGGUUGUAGCGUGAUUGUUUCCAGAUGACCAGAUUGUUUUUCUGAAAAUGAGCAUAUUUUUAGUCAUGUUGAUUAGCUGUUCUUCUACAUCACAUUGUUACUCUUUCUGAUGAUGAUUCUAGGGUUAACAUUGGAACCAUCUCAAAAUAAUUACAAAUUUUUAGAUGGGUUUACAAUGUCUUCUAAACAAUAUAAUCUAAAAAUAAUUGAGUCAGAUGCUAACGAGAUACUGAAGGCAUAACUGCUGUUUUUCUGGCAACUGAUUAUGAAACCUUAAAACCUGCAUACCUCUUCUUAUAGUGAGGAAUAUUCAAAAUCUGGAAAGAUAUUCUAUUUUUUUAUAUAGGUAGAUAGGAUCACCAUUUAUUUCCUAUUUAGAUAUACUGACAUUCAUCCAUAUGAAAAUAUGCAGGUCAUUAGCUUACUAUAAUUUUACUAUUUACUUUUGACUUAAUGGGGCAUAAAUAAAACUUUCUUAGUACACAUGAGGUGGAUAUUUGAUACACAGAACAUUUGUGGUGGGCUUUCUGUGGGUUAGAUGUAAAGCCCACGUAUUUUAAUAUUCACUAUUUUAAAUGAGCAAUGCAUGAGGGGAAUGCAGUGUCAGUACCUGGCCUAUUUUUAAACUAGUGUAAUCACCCUAGUCAUACCAUUCAGUAUGUUUGCUUUUUAAAAUAAGUAACCACAAUUAAGUUGUUGUAGCCCUUGCACUUCAAGAGAUUUAGUCCUUCCUUUCAGUUGUCUGUUAGGUCCAUUCUGUUUACUAGACGGAUGUUAAUAAAAACUAUGUGAGCCUGAACGUAUUCUCGGCCAAAUUUAGUCUUGUCUCUCAUCUUGAUUGGAUUAAUUCUAAAGUCUAAAAUGAUUCAGUCCACAAUAGCUCUAGG
rnacentral:lncRNA from 1 species